rnacentral:lncRNA from 1 species
AUGGACAAAGAAAGGCUAUGCAUAGAUUACAGUCAAGAAGGUGACGUCUUCCAGUGCUCUUUCCAUCAAGAUACAGUACAAGAUGAUAUUGCUGUUUCCAUCCGAGGCAAUUCCAGAGACAUUCGGCCAGUGUGCGUGUUGGCAAGAAGCGGCAGAAGAGAUAAGUUUCCAAUAAAAUAUGAUCCUCCAUCCAUUGUAAACAUCAGCAAGAGCGGUCCUGGAGUACGUCUGAUCUGGACCCGUCCUACCUCAAGCAGUGGUAUAUGCUACGAAAUAGAAAGCAAUAAUACCGCAACAAAGAACUCCACUUUCUUGGAUGAUUUUAAUGUGACAAUCCCCAUCAAAUCUGGCGAGCGCUACACGUUCCGGGUGAGAGCCGUCCGAGGUGUAAUCGCCACGCGGUGUCAGCAGAAAGAUGGUUACUGGAGUGAUUGGAGCGACCCUGUCGUUUGGGGUGAGCAGCAUCAUCCUCACACUCGGGCUAAGUCUUUGACGUCUGAGCAGCAUCCACUCAGAGGAACUUGUUCUUGA